UCUCAGCCACAAUACUAAUUCUA
rnacentral:piRNA from 1 species